UUGAAUAACAAGCGCGCCUUUACGGAGAGACUCGAGAAGAUUUUUAGCGAAUUCUACUCUGAACUUCCGACAGAAUUAUUGUGCUUUGCCAGGGAUAUCGUUGACGUACAACCGAAGAACGAGUCUGAAGCGUGUGAGGUUAAAACUCAGAUCGGUGGCAAGCAGAAUAAAGAGAAAGCUGAAGAUGAUGAAAGAGCAGAUGGUCUCUGAUGUUCAGCAGGUCUCAGAAAUCUCUGGUUUGGUUCAGCUACAAAAUCAGACAUCAAGAGACUUCAACGGAGAGUCAGGACAGCUGAGAGGAUCAUCGGUGGCCCUCUGCCCAGCCUGCAAGAUCUUUACAUCUCCAGAGGGCGUCCCCAGCAGAAGAUCCAGACGAGAUUGAUGUGAUUUCUGGGAAGAAGAUCAUAUAAGACUGGUUCUGCUGGGAAAACUGGAACUGGGAAAAAUGGAAACAUCAGCAGAAACGUUGGGCCUUAUUCAUAAAGCGUGCAUACACUCUGAUUUGAUCUUAUACUGUGUGAACGCUUAAUCUACGCCUGUGCUCGUAUUUGUAAAAACUGUCUUUGACGGAAAAGUGUUUGGCGUCACAUCAGGGCUGAGCAGACGUACACACUUUUUCUUUCUCGAGAAACCUAUUUUUGGAAAUGAAAGCUGUUCUAAAUGAAAGGAUUUGGACUGGCGAUCUUUUACAUGUUAAUGACAUUAAGAGUCGUUUCCAAAGCAGAGAGCUGAAACCAUUAAGUAGCGCAAAAGUUCAAGAUCAAUUGCGAUUCAUAGAUUUCACAUCUGAACGUACUUGCGUUUUCUGUACGUACGUUAAUUUUAGAAAUCACACCUAUGCAUAUUUGAGAGAUGAUCUUAAGAUCAAUUUUAGGAUGCUCAUUUAUAAAUGAGGCCCCAUGACUUUAUGAUAAUUUAUAGUAAUUAAUUUUAAAAAUGGCAAUCGCCUCUCCUGGACCUCGCGCUUUCAUUAUUGUGAUUUAAAGUGGUUUGAUUCUCUGAGGUGGAGAAACAUACAGUAAAGGAGCUGAAAGAAAGGUUUGGAAAUAAAAAGAAAGGUCAGAAAAACGUUAAUAUUUUUAAUUCACAAAACUCAGUCAGAGAAAGAAACCACUGAGAAGUUUAUAGCGGAAAGUUCUCUGGAUCUUCAACCCUUCACUCGGAGGUUCUUCUGUUAAACGUCUGCCAGUUUCUCAAUGAAUGAAGUUUAACAAACGCAGUAUUUCUUUGCGUCUGUGUGAUGUGUGUUUAUUUCUUAAGUAUGUGUGUAUGCUACAUGUGUUCAUGUGUGCGAACAUGAUUGUUCAGUUUUAUUUGUGAAUCAGGCUCCAUCUUUAAUUAGCAGGAGGAGGAAACAACAUAAUUUCUUAACUAAAAAAGAGAAAAGGCUAAACUCAGUAUAAGCUGCUGUUCUCUCAGGAUGUUCUUUGACCAUAUCCUGACAUAUUAUAAAUAAUGUUAUUCGUGUUUUAUGCUGUAUUUGUUUUCUUAGAAGCAUUGUGAUAUGUAGCCUAUUAUCUGAAAUUACAGAGACCUUGCUCAAAAAAAUCCUUUGAUGUCGUUGUUUGCAGCAUUUGUACAUAUGAUGAGUGCAUGAGUCACUCUUGGUGAAGAUAUCUGCUUCUGCAGAGCCCAAUGCAGUAUUCAGCUCUCAGCUCACUCGACCACUUCUUACUCUGCCAAGGAUCCGCUUAAGCGCUUCAUCAUGCAUAACCUCACAUGUGCAGAGAUUCAGACUCCAGUGGGGUUUCUGUAUGGGAUUCUGCCUGUUAUACUGAAUCAAACACUCAAUCCUGACUGUGAACAGGGCUGGUAUUCUGAGGAUGGGGUUAAGCUAGCAGAUCCGUCAGAUCCUCAAACAUUAAUGUAUCCUGUUAUUUCUGUCUCAUCUGAUCAUCUCGUCACUUCUCACUGUGUGAAUCUGAAUCAUCAGAUCAUCUGUGAUUCUGCUGAUGGACGUCAUUACAGUCAUGAGAUCAUGUUCAGAGUGAGGAAUGGAACCGCAGAGACUCCAAACUCAGUUUCAUCUGAUAAACAUCAGUUGUGGUGGUUUUCUAUCCUGAUCUUCUUUGUUUUGGCAUUUCUGUUUCUCGAUGCAUAAAAAUAUAUUAAGGCGUUUUCAGAGGCAAGCUUGAUUCAUCUGUCAGCAUGAGGAAUCAGAAAACAGUUUAAUUCCCUUUCUGUUCAGAGGAUGCUCUUCAUCAUCGUCAUCAUUAUGAUCAUCAUCCCAGUCAUGUACACAAACUCAAGGCUGAAUGUCAAUGUGAUGUACAACAUGAUUAGUUCUGAACCAGUCUCAGCUUGUUUUAACACUUGGCCUAUUUUCAUGCAUUUCAAUCCCUCCCCAGCAGGCACAAAACAUCAAGACACUGGUAUUUGGUUACAUUUCGGUUGCAACGUCAGGUGACCAAAAUUCAAUGUCAAUUCAAAUUUUAAUGUCAAUUUGAUGUUCAAUAUCCGAUGAAUGAUAUUUGUGUUUUUUAAGUUGUAUAACCAAAAGUCAACCUCGAAUUGGCAUCAAAUACUAACGUCUACUCGAUUUCCCUUCUCAACCCAAAUGCAACAUCUUUUCAAUUCUAUCUGACAUUAUUACAUUUACAUUUAUUCUUUAGCUGAUGCUUUUAUCCAAAGCGACUUACAAUUGCUAUAUAUGUCAGAUGUCGCAUGCCUCUGGAGCAACUAGGGGUUAAGUGUCUUGCUCAAGGAUACAUUGGUGUCUCAGUGGAUUCGAACCUGGGUCUCUAACCUAAGGUAUGGGUCUUAUCCACUGUGCCAACACCACACCCAUUAUAUUGAUGUCCUGUGUCUGCUGGGUACAGUUUUUCCACUGUUCCGUUAUCACUGAAAUGAAAGUUAACAGCAAACUUUGUGACAAAAGACAUUGUGACUGACAAACUGACAGUGACUGACAUCAUACUGACAGACAUCAGACUGACAUUCAGGUUUUUAGGCUUCUUAUACUUGAAUGGUCAAAUACACAGAGUAAUGCCAAAAUGUGUGCGUAUUCAUGUAAACACAAUUGAUUGUUUUAAGUGAACAAACUUUUAGGGAAAAACUGUUUUGGAAGUGUGUCAGAAUUAGAUUCACACAUUAUCGCUGUAGGUCUUAAAGUGACAGCAACCUAUUAUUUACACACUGCUGCCAUUUAUAACAGCUUCCUUAACCUCACAAAGAAUUUAGUUAUAAAUCAGAUUUUUUAUAGGGUUGGAUUCACUAACUAAAUGUUGUUUUAAUGUACACACUGGAAAUGUUUAUUAUCAAUCUUAACAAA